CGGCCCGGCCCGGUCUGGCCCGGCGGAGACGCCUCUCGCUCGGCUGCCCGGGAUUUCCCUGUCCACGGGUGCCCUCGCUGCCAGCCCACUGGUUUCUGCAAUAUCCAUGAUGGAGGUUGACCAAGGAAAAAGCAAGACCACUAGGAAUUUCUCUCCCAAGUGCCUUCAGUAGCAGCAUGGAGUUGCAGGCAGGUCUCUGCAAUGGCAGAGGGAGACUCAGCCUAAACCCUGCUCUCUGUCCUGGUCUGGAGCAGACAUCUACCGUCACCUUCUCCACCAAACAUCUUCCCAUUUUUGCAGCAAUUGCUGCUGUGCAGGCGUGGGCAGACAGCCCAUCUGCAGCAGAUCUGCUCCAUCCAUCAAUCCUCUGCCGCAGAGAUGCAAUGCCACCAGCGACGUGCCGGCAGCGCGUGAGAUGGGAGCUUGACAGGCAA